AUGUCACCAAGAGUGGCUCUGAAGCUGAGUUAUCACCAAGAGGGGUCGGCACAGAUUUGUCACCUCUUCAAGCGUCAUGGCAUGUCGGCGCUUGUCACCUCUUCUGGGCCAAAAUCUAACUUUGAAUCAUGCGACCAGAAUACUGUGUCGACGGUCAACCUGGACUGUAAAUUGGAUCUGAAAGCAAUAGCUCUCCAGGCAUGCAAUGCAGAGUAUAACCGCAAGACCCAAUUAGAUUUCCCGGAAGCUCGCACCCAGAUUUUGUUAUCCACAUCGGUUGAUCCUUGCAUACUACCCCUCACGGUUGAUGCGAUGAAUCUGAGACCUAUUGGAGCGUUCGCAAUAGUAGAACUUUCUUCAGGAUUAUUUGUAGAGAUAGCAUUGAGCUUCCCUAGCACCAGCUCAGGAGAAUCCGACAUGGAGGGCCUCCUCUUGGGGGAGGCAGCUGUGUCGCCGACGCCGGCCGUCGGAGACCAGCAAGGAGGGCUCCUUCUCCUUGGGCCUCCUGCUCAUGGUGCAAGCUGCAAGACAGAACAUGUUCAGUUCAGGUGUGCAGAGUACAUACAGGUGGAACCGGCCCUUUGGGAUCUUGUUCUGUGGAGGAGGAGGUGGAUUGCCCUGUCGGCGACGAAGCUCCAGCCGUGUGUCACCAGCCUGGGCAUGAUGAUGGUACUCUUCUUGACCAACGCCGAGCUCCGCGCUGGCGAGGGCCGCUCCUUGACGGGCGUCUUCUCGAAGUUGAGCGCGAUGGGCCUGACAACCUUCUUGGCAGGCUCGGGCGUGCCGACAACGAGCGGGUGGUGCCUCAGGAUGUGCGUGGUGCCGACCACGACGGGGACGGGGGGACCCCGGGUCGAGGCGGCGACUCCGCUUCUGGACGGUUGGUGUCGUCGCGGAGGAGCGGCCGUGCGGGAGGACCGGAGGAGGUGGGGACUGGGGAGCGGAGUGUACAGAGGCCGGCGGCGGAGACGUCUGGACGCAACAUGCUGCCCCUCAUCUCUUCCCUCGUGCGGCGGCUAG
rnacentral:rRNA from 1 species